CAGCCGCCGCGGUAAUACGUAGGGUGCGAGCGUUAAUCGGAAUUACUGGGCGUAAAGCGUGCGCAGGCGGUUGUGUAAGACAGGUGUGAAAUCCCCGGGCUUAACCUGGGAACUGCGCUUGUGACUGCACAGCUAGAGUAUGGCAGAGGGGGGUGGAAUUCCACGUGUAGCAGUGAAAUGCGUAGAGAUGUGGAGGAACACCGAUGGCGAAGGCAGCCCCCUGGGCCAAUACUGACGCUCAUGCACGAAAGCGUGGGGAGCAAACAGGAUUAGAGACCCCUGUAGUCCCUGUCUCUUAUAC
rnacentral:rRNA from 1 species